AUUGAACGCUGGCGGCAGGCCUAACACAUGCAAGUCGAGCGGCAGCGGGAAAGUAGCUUGCUACUUUUGCCGGCGAGCGGCGGACGGAUGAGUAAUGACUGGGGAUCUGCCCAGUCGAGGGGGAUAACAGUUGGAAACGACUGCUAAUACCGCAUACGCCUUACGGGGGGAAGGAGGGGACCUUCGGGCCUUUCGCGAGUGGAUGAACCCAGGUGGGAUUAGCUAGUUGUGGGGGUAAUGGCUCACCAAGGCGACGAUCCCUAGCUGGUCUGGAAGGAUGAUCAGCCAAACUGGAACUGAGACACGGUCCAGACUCCUACGGGAGGCAGCAGUGGGGAAUAUUGCACAAUGGGGGAAACCCUGAUGCAGCCAUGCCGCGUGUGUGAAGAAGGCCUUCGGGUUGUAAAGCACUUUCAGCGAGGAGGAAAGGUUGGUAGCUAAUAACUGCCAGCUGUGACGUUACUCGCAGAAGAAGCACCGGCUAACUCCGUGCCAGCAGCCGCCGUAA
rnacentral:rRNA from 1 species